CAUCUCUGGGGUUGACAAGCCAAUUGCACAGGCAGACUCCACCGUCUCGCCGAGUGCCAGCAAGAGUCAUGAGUACUUGUCAACUCGACUCCUCAACUGGAGAUAACUUUCUAGCACCUCACCAUGGGGAAGGACGCAUUCAUAUGCCUUCACCAGCACCUGCAUUAAACAUGCAGAGAGUUACACAAGGAACGGCAGUCCCUCCUCGACUCCCUCCACCCCCCUCACCAGCAGCCCUCAACAUGUGGCAGACAGAGGAGCCUGGAUCCAGCCUGGCCUACAGGCCAACAUGGCGAGGGGGAAGAAUGGCGACAAC